ACGCGCGGAACCUUACCAGGUCUUGACAUCCCGCUGACCGGUCUGGAGACAGAUCUUCCCCUUCGGGGGCAGCGGUGACAGGUGGUGCAUGGUUGUCGUCAGCUCGUGUCGUGAGAUGUUGGGUUAAGUCCCGCAACGAGCGCAACCCUUGUUCUUAGUUGCCAUCAUUUAGUUGGGCACUCUAAGGAGACUGCCGGUGACAAACCGGAGGAAGGUGGGGAUGACGUCAAAUCAUCAUGCCCCUUAUGACCUGGGCUACACACGUGCUACAAUGGACGGUACAAGCGGUUGCCAACCCGCGAGGGGGAGCUAAUCCGAUAAAACCGUUCUCAGUUCGGAUUGUAGGCUGCAACUCGCCUACAUGAAGCCGGAAUCGCUAGUAAUCGCGGAUCAGCAUGCCGCGGUGAAUACGUUCCCGGGCCUUGCACACACCGCCCGU
rnacentral:rRNA from 1 species